UAUAUGAGAGAUGAAUCGAGACCUAGAACCAUGAUUUUCUUGAACCCUAUCCUUGGACUUAAGGAUUUGAAAUGAGUAAAGAGUUUAUGUAGAGUUGAUUAAGAGAUAGAAUAUAAGAUAGAACAUGAGUUGAGGCAUGAGUUUUUGUCGUUGAGUUUCUAAUCGAGAUUCAUUUUAUGACAUGAACCUACGAUGAUGACGAUGAUCCCUGAAGACACGAGCAGAGCAGGGAAGUAAGUAACUCCGCUUUGACGGGAGUUUUUGAGUAAGGUCUUCAGACUAAGCGAGGAGCGAGAUUGGUCUGGUGCUGGCGGGGAAAUGUUGGAGGAUGUAUUUACUUUAUCGUAUUUCCAUUUUGACGAUAAAGUCUUGAUGAUUGAUAUACUUUAUUUUUCUUUUGAAGUUAAGCAAUGUACUCACGGUUAUAUGUCUUCAUACAUAUAAUCGGUUCGCCUUUUGCUGCGAUACUCUGCAUAUUAUGAUUCCUUACGAAAAAUGAGCGAUACCCGUUUUGUUUUUGUUCGUGAAAUUCCUGAUAAUUAAAAAGUUAUAACGACAUUGACGAUUUUA